AGUGAACGCUGGCGGUAGGCCUAACACAUGCAAGUCGAACGGCAGCACAGUAAGAGCUUGCUCUUACGGGUGGCGAGUGGCGGACGGGUGAGGAAUACGUCGGAAUCUACUUUUUCGUGGGGGAUAACGUAGGGAAACUUACGCUAAUACCGCAUACGACCUACGGGUGAAAGCAGGGGAUCUUCGGACCUUGCGCGAUUGAAUGAGCCGAUGUCGGAUUAGCUAGUUGGCGGGGUAAAGGCCCACCAAGGCGACGAUCCGUAGCUGGUCUGAGAGGAUGAUCAGCCACACUGGAACUGAGACACGGUCCAGACUCCUACGGGAGGCAGCAGUGGGGAAUAUUGGACAAUGGGCGCAAGCCUGAUCCAGCCAUACCGCGUGGGUGAAGAAGGCCUUCGGGUUGUAAAGCCCUUUUGUUGGGAAAGAAAAGCGGCAGGUUAAUACCCCGCUGUUCUGACGGUACCCAAAGAAUAAGCACCGGCUAACUUCGUG
rnacentral:rRNA from 1 species